CUACGGGAGGCUGCAGUGAGGAAUAUUGGACAAUGGAGGCAACUCUGAUCCAGCCAUGCCGCGUGCAGGAAGACGGCCCUAUGGGUUGUAAACUGCUUUUAUACAGGAAGAAUGUUAUCUACGUGUAGAUAUUUGACGGUACUGUACGAAUAAGGAUCGGCUAACUCCGUGCCAGCAGCCGCGGUAAUACGGAGGAUCCAAGCGUUAUCCGGAAUCAUUGGGUUUAAAGGGUCCGCAGGCGGUUCAUUAAGUCAGAGGUGAAAUCCUACCGCUCAACGGUAGCAUUGCCUUUGAUACUGAUGGACUUGAGUUAUAGUGAAAUAGUUAGAAUGUGUAGUGUAGCGGUGAAAUGCAUAGAUAUUACACAGAAUACCGAUUGCGAAAGCAGAUUACUAACUGUAUACUGACGCUGAGGGACGAAAGCGUGGGUAGCGAACAGGAUUAGAUACCCCCGUAGUC
rnacentral:rRNA from 1 species